AGAUGUCUUUCAGAUGAGGUAAAUUGAGCUCAUGAAAUUAUACUUUUGAAAUGCCAUCUAUCAUUCUGUGAAAGAUUCAUCUUACAAGCGUAGACUAAAACAGUGAUAGUACUGUCUAGGAUAAAGGAUCCUAUUUACCUCAACACGUCAUACUUCAUAAAAAUAACACCCAAGAUAAAGCUUGUAAUAAAUGCUAGUCAGUCAGCUCAAAGCAAAUCAGUGAGGUCUGUAACAACAAAGUCAGCAACUCUCAGAGCAGAAGGUUUUAACAGAGCAGGCACAGAUGAUUUCAAUGAAAGGCACAGAUGGACUCUGAGGUGAAGACAGUAAAAUUAACCCUUCAAUCUUCCUAAUAAACAAUGAACCUGCCUACCCUUAAUCUGAUCAACCCUAUCUUUAAACAAGCCACUGAAAUGUGAGGCUUUUAAAUUUAAUUUUGUGAAGCAUUACAUAUUUUACAUUCUCCAUGUAGUAGCUGAAACCCCAGUUACUUUCAUUACAGCAUUAUUUACGUAUGUCACUCUAAAAGUAAUGCCUCCUAUUUGUUUCCAUGGAAACUACAACAAAUACAAAAGAAGAGACCCUAAACCCUCUCCGGGCAGCCCGUGUCAUCACAGGCUCCAUCACAGCAUAGAAAUGCUCCCAGGUGCUUAGAGGGAGCCACUUAUGUCCCAGUGUGUCUCCACUGACUCCCAUCCUGACACCAGGCACCACUGGUGAAGAAAACCUGCCUUCAUCCUCUCAGAACUCUCCCUUCAGGAUGUUCACAAAACCAGACUGGAUCCCAGGUGUUUUGAGACAGCAAACAACAAAGAGAGAUACACAGGAACAGGGAAGUCCAUUAAAAGAUAGGAGCACUCGCUGCAUUUCAUUCUUCAUUUCUCCAACCUAACUUGCAAGCUUUAUUCCCCUGCAUAUGAAAUUGAAGUUCACCCCAAAAACUGCUGGCAUUUAUCAAGGAACUGAGUCAAAAAGAAGACAGACAGUUUGAAACUACAACCCUUUUAUUCAUCCUUUUCUCCAUUCUGAUGCACGGGAAAGCUGCAACGCAACUUCUCUAUGCUGCUCUCCAUUCAUACCAGAAGGAUGAGUCAGGAAGUGAACCUUAUAUUUCGCCUUAUUACUUUCAUUGCUCUACAAUUACAACUCUAUUGUUGUACCUACACAUAAGCUUUCAA